UACGUAGGGUGCGAGCGUUGUCCGGAAUUAUUGGGCGUAAAGGGCUCGUAGGCGGUUUGUCGCGUCGGGAGUGAAAACCUUGGGCUUAACUCAGGGCUUGCUUUCGAUACGGGCAGACUAGAGGUAUGCAGGGGGAGAACGGAAUUCCUGGUGUAGCGGUGAAAUGCGCAGAUAUCAGGAGGAACACCGAUGGCGAAGGCAGGUCUCUGGGCAUUAACUGACGCUGAGGAGCGAAAGCAUGGGGAGCGAACAGG
rnacentral:rRNA from 1 species